rfam:Ictidomys tridecemlineatus contig009328, whole genome shotgun sequence.
AGGGAUAUAGCUCAGUUGGUAGAGUGCUUGUCUCAUAUGCACAAGGCCAUGGGUUCAAUCCCCAAUAUCACAA